GCAUACCCCUAAACAUUUUGUGAAUCUUUGUACUUUCAUCCAUUUACUGUAUUUAUUUCCCCCGAUUUGAACUAUAAAAUGGUGAUUUUUCUUGAGUCAAAAUGAGAGUACCUCUAAACAUUUUUUUAGGGGGGGAAAGCACUGCAUGCAUUAUUUCAAGAUGUUUGCAUUUUUUAAAGGAUCAUGUGAAGGUGAGCAGCAGAUCAGAUGUUGUAUCCCUAACUAAACCGUAUUCUUAGAAUAUUAUUUCACAACACAGCAUCCAAGUGGGGUGUGGAUGGAUUUGAAAGAAGCCCUUAAUAACCUACCCCAUUUUAAGAGGCUGAGAUGCUGUUUUUCCUUCAGAAAUCUCCUCUCUGUUUAUUGCCCCAUUUUUGUUUAGCAAGUUGCUCUGGCAAUUGAAUCCAUACGCUGUUGCAUUCGCUCCUAUAAUUUAGCUGCCAUUUUUCCUUGGGUGAGACAGUGAUUGGUUAUGGCAGGACUGUAAUACGUUGUCAGCCCUGGUUACCCGGCGCUUGUUGACGGUGGCCUAACAUUGCCUGAGACAGGGUGUCACCGCAAAAUUGUUUGACAACAUUGAUGCUGUGGUUAACGGUGAGCGCUAACAAGGGCCAGGGUUGGGAGAGGGCAGAACGAGAGAUGUAGAGCUUCAGGCGGACAAAAGGGAUGGAGAUGGAAAGUAAAUCUGAGCAAGCUGUGAACGUCACUGAAAAUAAUGUAUUUUACGGUGGGGUUUUUUUUUUUAAAAAUGAAUGUUUGCAUACUAACGAUUUCAAAUUGUAGUUCCACUGAAAGCUCACAGCACCUCCAGCUUAACUGCAAGCUGUGUGGCUUCCAUGGAGUUGCAGUGAUGCUAGCAAUUAGAGAUGGGGGGAAAUAAUUUGAUUUUGUCCACAUUUUAACGUGAGACUACCUAAUUCAUACAUUAAGAACCAUUGCACCAACCAAAAUGCAGCUCGCCUUCAAAAUUCUCACUUGUCCAAAUUUUGCAGUGCAGUUCUUCAAUCAACCAAAGUGUAAAAAAUAAUAAUAAUGCAUAAUUUAAGGGAAAGCUUUGAAAAUAAGAUACCAAAAUAAAUUAUGUUAAGGGAAAGAGCUUUCAAAAAUGUGGCUGUUAGUCAAAACACCAUAUAAAACAUGUGUGUUUACUUUGAAAAUCCACUCUAAAAUUAUCACAAAUUUUAAUGAGGGGUUUUCUUCUUCUUUAAUUCAAAUUGCUUCCUAAAUAUGGAGAACUGAAUGGAAGAUUGUAAAAAAAGAGAAACUAAAACUGGCAUAUUUGUCAAACCCUACUAGGAUUAUUCCAAAAAUUUAUCCAGAAGAGCUUCCAUAUACAAAAUUGCAUAUGUAAAAAAUCAGAAUGUUUACUUUUGCAAAUAGCUCUAUUUUGGGUAGAGAGCCCUUAUACACACUUGAAAAUAAAUAAAUACUUUUACAGACUGUCACAUGACACAACAGAGGUUGGGUCCAUAUUUAUGUCCUCGUUUUAUUUAUUGAUUUAUGAGAUUUCUUACUAACCCUUCACUUGACAGUCCCAGGGCAAUAGAAAAUAGGGCACAAUACUCUUAAACCAAAGGUAGAUAGCAGGCCCCAAAAGCAGAGAUGAAUGGGGUCAUUUGAAAGAGGGAUUGGAACCCUGUAGCUCAGCAAAUGUUGUUGCUUUACAACUCCCAUUUUCCCUGACCAUUUGUUACAGUGGCUGGAGCUGAGGGGAAACUUAAGAAGGAUAUUGACAAGCUAGAAUGUGUGCAGAAGAGGGCAACCAAGAUGAUCAAGGAUCUAGAAACCAAGCAAUGAUUAUAAAGGAGUUGCUUAUGAGCAAUGGUUGAGGGGUUGGGUAUGUUUGGCCUGAAGAAGAGACGACUGAGAGGUGACUUGAGAGCCAUCUUCAAAUAUAUGAAAGGCUUUACAUGGAAGACAUGGCAAGCUUGUUUUCUGCAAUUUCAGAGGCCACAACACAACCAAUCAAUUCAAAUGUCCGGAAAGCAGAUUCUGGCUAACCAUUAUGAAAAACUUUCCAAUGGUAAGAGCUAUCAGACAGUGGAAUGGGCUACCUCAGAAGGUGAUGGACUUUCCUUCCUUUGAUAUUUUGAAACAGAGGCUAGAUGACCAUCUGCCAGGGAUUCUCUAGCUGUGAUUCCUGCAUUGCAGGGGGCUGAACUCAAUGACUCCUUUCCAACUCUAUGAUUCUGUGAUUCUGUGAACCAGAAGCCAGUGCAGCUGUUGAAAUAUAGGUGCUGCAUGAAAGCUCUGAAAAUGCUCAAUAUGGAGGCCAAAUGGCCGAAAUAUUGGGAAAUUCUGGAACAAGAUGGAGAUAGACUGAAAUUGCAGAGUUUUGAGAAAUUAAAAAACAAAGUGCGAGAUUGGCUUCAUUAUUAUCAGAUAAUGGAGGCAUAUAAUUUGGACAAGAAAAUUGGCUUCCAGGUGGAAAAAUCAAAAUUAGAAACAGAACUGUUAGAACCCAAAACUAAGAUUCUGUCAAAAAUGUAUAACUUGCUGUUGAAAUGGAAUACUCAGGAUGAAACGGUGAAAUCUGCUAUGAUUAAAUGGGCACAAGAUGUUAGACAUAACAUAAUGAUGGCUGACUGGGAACAGUUAUGGACCACAGGUAUGAAGUUUAUGGCAUGCAAUGCCUUAAGAGAGAAUAUUAUGAAAAUGAUAUACAGGUGGUACAUGACCCCAGUCAAGCUUGCAAAAAUGUAUCAUUUGCCCGAUAAUAAAUGCUGGAAAUGUAAAGAAACUGAAGAUACAUUCUUCCACCUUUGGUGGACGUGCCCAAGGAUUAAGGCUUUCUGGGAGAUGAUAUAUAAUGAAUUGAAAAAGGUAUUUAAAUAUACCUUCUUGAAGAAACCAGAGGCCUUUCUCCUAGGCAUAGUCGGCCAAUUGGUGCCAAAGAAGGAUAGAACUUUUUUUAUGUAUGCCACAACAGCAGCAAGAAUACUCAUUGCAAAGUAUUGGAAGACACAAGAUCUACCCACCUUGGAAGAAUGGCAGAUGAAGCUGAUGGACUAUAUGGAACUGGCAGAAAUGACUGGCAGAAUCCGAGACCAGGGAGAAGAGUCGGUGGAAGAAGAUUGGAAGAAAUUCAAAGACUAUCUACAGAAAUAUUGUAAAAUUAAUGAAUGUUAGAAUGAUGUUGGAUAGAAAUUAAGUGGUUUCCAGCUGUAAUGCUUUAAGGGAAUAUGAAAAAUGGGUUGUUAAUAGGUAAAAAUCUAACGUUACUAUUUUAAGACCAAAGAUUAGGAUAAACAAAGAGGGUAAGGAUUUGCUGAACCAACAAAUUGAACUGGAAUACGAAAAAGGGAGGUAUGAGGAGGUCCGGGAAACAAGCUAAGGAAAAAUAAGUAAUGGAAAAAUUGAGUGGUUUUUAAUCAUUUUUAUUUUGUAUUUUGUAUAUUUUCUUUUUUUUCUCUCCCCCCCCCUUUUUUCAUUUUUAUAUUGUAACAUUUGGAAAAUCUCAAUAAAUAUCUUAUAUAUAUAAAAAAAAUGAAAUAUAGGUGCUGCAUGCUUCCAUGGUGAAUAAAGGUAAGGUAAAGGGACCCCUGACCAUUAGGUCCAGUCGUGACCGACUCUGGGGUUGCAGCGCUCAUCUCACUUUAUUGGCCGAGGGAGCCGGCGUACAGCUUCCAGGUCAUGUGGUCAGCAUGACUAAGCCGCUUCUGGCGAACCAGAACAGUGCACAGAAACGCCGUUUACCUUCCUGCUGGAGCAGUACCUAUUUAUCUACUUGCACUUUGACGUGCUUUCAAACUGCUAGGUUGGCAGGAGCAGGGACCGAGCAACGGGAGCCCACCCCGUUGUGGGGAUUCAAACUGCCGACCUUCUGCUUGGCAAGUCCUAGGCUCUGUGGUUUCACCCACAGCGCCACCCACGUCCCUCCAUGGGUGAAUACCUGUUAGCAACUCACUGUUGCAUUCUGUUGGAGAUUGCAGAGCAACUUAAAACACAGCCCCGUCAUCUGAGCCAAUGAGCCGUGCUUGCAUGCAACUACUAUCACUGCAGACUCCUUUGCCUACACCUAAGCAUAGUGCUCAUCAGAUCCUUCUGCCAAUUGAUCUCAUAUUCUAGUGAUGUGCAAUUGAACUGACAGCCAGUUAUUGGCAUCCUUGUAUAACUCAUUACUGCAUCAAGGAUCUGGCAAGUCCACUGAGGAGAAGCCAUGUGUGCUCCUUUGACAUUGAUGCCUCCCUUUCAUUUCCCAUUGUUUGUUACACCCAAUCUUUGUCUCAUCAUCCUUCAUGCCAGGUCUCCCCUUGCUCUGCGCCAAGCCAGGAACUUGUCAGAAUAAUGAGUUACGGUUUAUUCAGAUUGUGCUGUGGCAGAUGUCGUCUUGGGUGGCCUGUUUUUGAAUAUUUAGGAACUGCGGGUGGGGGAAGGAGUGCUGAAGGACCAUAGCUCAGCGGCAGAGCAUCUCCUUUUUGUGCAAAAGGUCGCAGGUUCAAUCCUCGGCAUUUCCAGGUAGGGCUAGGAAACUGUUAUGUACUAAGUUGGAUCCUAGAACAAUAGGCAAGUAGGAUCCUAGAAUGCAACAACUGAUUGGCUUGCAGGAAAAGACCAAUCAGGCUCCAGGAGGAAGUUGAUCAGCCUAUUAGGCUGGUAGGAUUGUAGAAUGCAACAGCUGAUUGGCCUGCAGGAAAAGACCAAUCAGGCUCCAGGAGGGAAGCAGAAUCAGCCAAUCAGAUAGGACUCAUUGUGUAAAUAAUGUAUAUAAAAGCCUGAGGUUUCGGGGGCAAUCCAAUCACUGUUUUACAAGCUGCAAUAAAGAGCAUGAAAUCACUACAGGACUCCGAGUAUAUUUCAGAAACGUUUCCUGCCUGAACCUGUGGGGACCUGAUGCCAUUCAGAGCAGAUAAUACUGAACAAGAUGGAUCAAUGGUCUGACUCAAAAUAAGGCAAUUUCCUCUGUUCCUAGAUGCUCUCAAAUGUUACGUAGGCUAAGCUUUCUGAAGAUGGUCUUGGUUCCCAGGGAUCUUGCUUGAAGCCUAUGCCCAUUACUCUGCCGAGCCUCCCCAGGGCCUUUAUUCUACCCAUUCAAAUGGUGGAUAAGUACCAAGUUCGCAUCCCCACGACGGGGUGAACUCCCAUUGCUCUGUCCCAGUUCCUGGCAACCUAAGGCCUGGGGGCUGGAUCAGGCCCAAUCGCCUUCUCAACCCAGCCUGUGAGCAGUCCAGGAAUCAGCAUGUUUUUACAUGAGUAGAAUGUGUGUUUUUAUUUAAAAUGCAUCUCUGGGUUAUUUGUGGGGCAUAGCAAUUCAUUCAUUCCUCCCCCCC
rnacentral:lncRNA from 1 species